CAGAUUUUUCUUUCUUUUUCUCACCUAAACUCACACACGCAUCACUCUCGGUUUCCCCCACUCAACAAAAAAAAUUUCCACCAUUUUUCUCCCUUCUCUCUUGCUCUUCUCUCUUCUCUCAUCAACCCUUGAACCUUGGGAGCCAUGGCACAUGUGGGGCUUUGAUUUCUUGUUGGAAGCAUUGCACAAAGGGGGUCUUUCAAGAGCAAAACCUUUGGCUUGGGCUUUGCUUCAAAUCAAGUCUUUCAUUGUUUUUGAGCUUUGGGUAACGAUUUUUGGGUGUUAGGACCUUCAAUCUACCGAUUAUUUUGAGGCACGUAAGGUGGAGACUUCAAUUGUUCUCCAACGGUGAGUUCAACGUAUUUAGAACGUGUGGGAUAUUCGAGUCAUGAGCCCAGUGCAGCCAAGAUGUGGUUAACUGAUGGAGAUCAAGGGACCGCUUUGAAGGAUCUCGUUCAAGUACCAAUUGGGCCGGUUACGAGAGCACGAGCAAAGAAGUUCAAGGAUGUGCUCAACGGACUCAUCCAAGAGUUAUGGGCUCAAGCAAAUUUGGGGAGGCCCAUUGAGCAUGAUCCACGUGGGCAACAAAGAAUUGUCACCUUGAUUCAAGUUCUAGAAGGAUCCGGUCAAGGCUAAGAACUGCUGAGAUUGUUCGUUAAUUUAGAAGGAUCGGAUUACAAGACUUAUUUUCUUUACCUACCUAAGAUCUUUAUUUAUUUUCUUUCCUUGCUAGGAAUUGAUUUGGACUUUAUUUUCUUUCCUUGCUAGGAAUUGAUUUGUUUACUUAUUAGGAUUAGAACUACUUUCUCCGCAAGUAAUUUUCUUGUAUAAAUAGGUGUACCUACCAUGUAAUGGAGGAGACAUUGAUUAUUCAUAAAACUUGUGAGGUUUAUUCUCUUUGGUUCUUUGAAGAACUGCUCGAACUUAUCGGGAUUUCCCGUGGCGUUCAUCUCGACUUAUCAAACGGAGUUUCCACCACCGUUUGUGGCGUCUUCCUUAUACCGAGGUUCUUGUUUGUCAUAAACAACGGGUCGAGGUCUUCCAUUCAAAUCUGUUCAUAGAACGAUCUUGGGUUCCCUUUCGUUGUUGGGUCUCGUUAUUCUUGACAGGGUUCACAUCAUUAACCUUACAACCGUACAGAGUUUGACGCUUUGAUUGCAAGUCCAGUGGAUCUAAUGAAAUGACUUCGUAGCAUAGUACUUGGGAUGUUAUGACCGAAGCACGACGCGACAGUUAUAAUGGUUGGACCAUGUGUUGUUCGCCUUUUGGUAGACUUUGUUUAUGGCUCGUGUCGCCUGUGACACGUGUAUUUAUGAGCCAGUCUUUUAGUAUGUAUUUAAUAGCUAUGUAAAAGCCUUAAACAGAUAGACAGAUUAAUAACUCUUUUGUUGUGAUUAACUGUUGUUUAUAGAUGUACCU